AGGGGUUCGGGAGCAUAGGUGAAUCAUUAUAUGUUGUCAGUUAUAGUUUGGUCGUUAAAGAAAUAUAUCGAUGAAGUGCUCUGGCAAAUAAAGUUUAAAUUAGUAGUUGCAAUUGGAACAAAAUUUGUAGUUUUUCGGGCAAAUAAAUUUGAAAUUGGUUCGGUGAAACGUGCGUUAAAGUGAGAUCCGGAAAAGAAUAUACCACAACGUAGGGCCUGAUUUAUCACUCGACGGUACAUAUGGUGCCGUGACCAGGAUCGCUUCUGGAAGCCGCCAUUGCGAUCGCUAUUGUCUCCUACCCUUUGGAGAUUCAACCACAUGUUUCGCCAGCCAUCUUUACGGACUAGCAUAUUUAAUUAUACGAGGCCUGAUACCUUCUGGCCGAAGAAGCCGUCGAAUUCAUCGGACGACCGUUCCAUGGUGUGCCAUCUCUGAAGACUGGCAUACUCAUUAGCCACGCUAUUCAUCCACGCUCGAGUUCUGCUAUACCUCGGUUCUAUAGUUCCAGCUUUUCCAAUUGUACAAGGCACGAAUUGCCUUGGACCAGACUCCCUGAUUAAUCGCGUCGGCUGCUAAUACCGGUGGGACACGAUGGAGAACGCACUCCAGAAGCAGCUGUUGCUGUCGAGAAGGGAAACCAUGAUUGCUGCUUUGGGUCGGGCAGAGGCAUUUCUGGAAGCGUACGAUGAACAACGAGACCAGUCUCAAGUACGAUUGCGGUUGGAGUAUUUUGACUCGAUGUGGAAGUCACUGGAACAGGUGCAGGGUCAACUCGAAGACUCUGAAACUGAAAGCGAAGGAGCUCCAGCGAGAUUCAAAACAACGCAGCCGAAACGACGAAAUUACUCCGGGACGUAUGGUCAUCGUGGUGGACGAACUGCAAGGCCCUCUUCGUUGGCCCCUCG